rnacentral:lncRNA from 1 species
CGUACACUCUGCAGAAUCAUAGGUGUUAGAAAACCUCUCCUCCAGCUCCCUCCUGAUUCUUCAAGGUAGUUGUGCCUGUGCUGACAAUUCUUCCUUGGGGAUACAGAGAGGCUCUUUCUAUGAAACUAGUGCCCAUCACAAACAGGAUGGAACUGAGCACCCACCACACGCCCAGAACACAUGUCACCAUUUCGCGACUACAUGGAAACCUGACCGCUAGCACUGAUCCAAUCUAGAGGAGUCUAUGUAAAUAGCAGCUGUGCAGCUGGACUCUGCCUCCACUCCUCAGAAAGUCGAUGUUCUCGCUAGCCCAGACUGGAUUUCUGCAUAUGAUCUCCAUGCCUUGCCUGCUGUGAUAUAUCUUUAUACUCAAAGAAUUGUACACUUUUCAUUUUGAACAUGAAAUAACAUCCAGACUCUCACUGGAAGACUCCUGGCCGACUAGAGCACCACCUGUUCUUGAUAUUUUUUCAACCAAUUAAGCAUUUAAAUUGUUUCUCAUCUAAACUGGAUUUGCUUUUAUUAUUUUUUCCUUGCCAUUUUUCUUUGCCACAGCCAUCAACAAUACCUAGCAAACAACUGCUUAAUGUGCUACGGAAACAAAAGUGCGGUUGUGCGGAAGCAGAAACGAGAGGGGAUGGGGUGGAGUGGAGAGAAGGCGAGCUGGAACCCGGGGCUGACUUGCGUCAGGGGACCUUGGUCAGGUGAUAUUCUCCUACGAAAGAAAGACUCCCACUGGCCUUCUCCCGUGGCUUUACCAACCACACUGGCAUAUCCUCUGUCAUACCUGCCACUGAGCCGUAUCUUAAACAAUAUGGCACGAAUGUAA